UACUCGAAAGGAGAUUGUGCCUGUGCAUUGUCUGCCAGUAAACUUGUGGUAUUUCUGCUUGAGAGCAACAGCGAUUUUGAUGCUUCAAUCCUUCCAACACCUCGUUAAAAUUUUAUACAAUACCAAGAAAGAACAAUAAAUAGACAAAUAUUCCAACAAGAGAAAAUUACAUGAAGCUCCGGGACAAAAAUACACUCGACCAAAGGAAACCAAAACAUGGACACUCAGGUGUCAUGGAUUGAAUUUUCAGAAGAUGAAGGUACCAGAAGACAGACUGGAAUUUAGUAGCAGGGAAAGAAAGUGAGAGACAAUAUCAAAGAGCCAUAUGAGAACAUGCCCUUGACCACAACCAAAUUGAGCAGCACUCACAAGGCCUUGCCCCCUUUUGCAAUAUCAUCUUUGAUUGCUCUUUGAAUCCAUUUCACAAUAAGCCACUGAAUCCCAAGAAUGAGAGGAAUCAACACCUUCCCCCUGUCAUUUGA
rnacentral:misc_RNA from 1 species